UACGGGGGGAGCAAGCGUUGUUCGGAUUUACUGGGCGUAAAGGGCGCGUAGGCGGUCGUGACAAGUCACUUGUGAAAUCUCCGGGCUUAACUCGGAACGGUCAAGUGAUACUGUCGGACUAGAGUACAGAAGGGGCAACUGGAAUUCUCGGUGUAGCGGUGAAAUGCGUAGAUAUCGAGAGGAACACCUGCGGCGAAGGCGGCUACCUGGACCGGUUCUGACGCUGAGGCGCGAAAGCGUGGGUAGCAAACAGG
rnacentral:rRNA from 1 species